rnacentral:rRNA from 1 species
AUACGUAGGGUGCAAGCGUUAAUCGGAAUUACUGGGCGUAAAGCGUGCGCAGGCGGUUUUGUAAGACAGUGGUGAAAUCCCCGGGCUCAACCUGGGAACUGCCAUUGUGACUGCAAGGCUGGAGUGCGGCAGAGGGGGAUGGAAUUCCGCGUGUAGCAGUGAAAUGCGUAGAUAUUCGGAGGAACACCGAUGGCGAAGGCAAUCCCCUGGGCCUGCACGGACGCGCAUGCACGAAAGCGUGGGGAGCAAACAGGAUUAGAUACCAUGGUAGUCCACGCCCUAAACGAUGUCAACUGGUUGUUGGGGAUUUAUUUUCUCAGUAACGAAGCUAACGCGUGAAGUUGACCGCCUGGGGAGUACGGCCGCAAGGUUAAAACUCAAAUGAAUUGACGGGG